AUGAGUGAUGUCCGUCCCACCCUGACGGUGCUCGCCCCUUCCAGUAAGGAGCUGGAGCAGGGGAAUGCCACGCUCACAUGUCUGGCCAACAAGGGCUUUCCCUCAGACUGGAGUCUGUCCUGGAUCGUUGACGGCCGCAGAUGCAGCGGCAUUGGUUGGGAAGUGAGCAGGAGCCCCGGGGCGCUGCAGACAGACAGGCUCUACAGCUGGAGCAGCACCCUGAUGCUGCCUGCAGACCAGUGGGAGAAGGUGGGCUCUGUGACCUGUGAGGCCACGAGGGGCUCCGAUACUCCACUCUCAGAGACUCUGAGGAGAGACCAGUGUUCCCAGUCCUGA